rnacentral:rRNA from 1 species
CCUACGGGAGGCAGCAGUGAGGAAUAUUGGUCAAUGGGCGUAAGCCUGAACCAGCCAAGUCGCGUGAGGGAUGACGGUCCUAUGGUUCGUAAACUUCUUUUAUAAGGGAAUAAAGUGCGGGACGUGUUCAGCUUUGUAUGUACCUUAUGAAUAAGGACCGGCUAACUCCGUGCCAGCAGCCGCGGUAAUACGGAGGAUGCGAGCGUUAUCCGGAUUUAUUGGGUUUAAAGGGAGCGUAGGUUGCUUUUUAAGUCAGCGGUGAAAGUUUGUGGCUCAACCAUGCAAUUGCUGUUGAAACUGGAUGUCUUGAGUGCGUGUGAGGUAGGCGGAAUGCGGGGGGUAGCGGUGAAAUGCGUAGAUAUCACGAAGAACUCCGAUUGCGAAGGCAGAUUACUGAGCCAUAACUGACGCUGAAGCACGAAAGCGUGGGGAUCAAACAGGAUUAGAUACCCGUGUAGUC